CCAGAGGAGGACAGGGGAGCACAUGAAUCCAUGGCUCAUGCACAAAAUGUUAAACUAUGCACAGAAUCAGGAAACCUUUUUCAGAAUGGAGAACCAGAUGGAGAAGAGGGCAACUUUCCAUGGGUCAUUUUUGACAGAUAAACGACGAGUGCUGGCUCAGAUGGAACGCGAAACGAACUGCUCUGUGGUUUGUUUCCCUGCUGGAGGAAGGGAGAAGCAAAGUGGGAGCACUCAAGCUGCAUCCACCAAUGGGUAGCAGACAAAUUUGCUUCAUGGUCUAAGCCAGUGUGGUGUAGUGGUUAGAGUGUUGGACUACAACCUGGGAGACCAGGGUUCGAAUCCCCACACAGUCACGAAGCUGACUGGGUGACCUUGGGCCAGUCGCUGCCUCUCAGCCUCAGAGGAAGGCAGUGGUUAACCCCCUCUGAAUACCGCUUACCAUGAAACCCCUAUUCAUAGGGUCGCCGUAAGUUGGGAUCAACUUGAAGGCAGUCCAUUUCCAUUUUCAAGAAGUGUGAAUACCGAGUGAUCUUGGAUUUCCUCUAAAAAGAAUCAGCUUUCUUUUUCUUUCUUAACUAUAAUAUCUGCUUGACUCAAGCCCCGAUGUAUUAGUUCAAUUCACAUGAUUUGCAUAAAGGUGCAUGGAGUCCUUUCUCGGUUUCCAGAGCACAGCUUGACAUGCUCAGUGUCAAAGCUGGAGGAACUAUGGUUACUACUAUUCUCCAACAACAUCAUACAAAGUGGACUUGCAAACCAGAUGUCAUAGCAACUAUGGUUAUUGCAACCUUGACAUAGAGGAACUGUGGCACAUUUUAUAUGACGGGGUUUACAUGAUCUUUGGAAAAGGGGGCUGUCCUACAGGUCCAAUUUCCAUGAGAUGUUUCUGGAGCUAAGUAGAUUUAUUCUGUCAUACAAAAAUGAACCACAGAAGAAACCAAGCCAUAAUAAUUGAAAUAGGAUAGCAAGGGUGUUAGUGAGAGAUAGUUUUUUAAAAAACAAGCACCCUAAUGGAGAAUAUAUAUAUAUAUAAAACAAUGAAAAUGAUGGUGCAAAGCGUCAAGGAACCUUACAGGGAUGUUUCCUGACAAUUAGGGCACGUGUGAGGUAUGUAGUAGCUCAUUUUCUUUUUUGGAGAAAAAUUCCAUUGGUAACAUUAACUCUUCUUCCAGCUCCCUGGCAUACAAGGAAGAGAAGUACUCCAGUUGUUUUAACUAAAAGCCAAGACUUUAACCAGACUCUAUUUUUCCUCUUAAUAAGAAAGACAGUGAGGACCAACGCAUUUACAUCUCUCCUGGGUUUUUUCCCCUCUUUAGACCCAACAAAUUUAACAAGCCCAGGCACUCUAAGCAACAUCAAGGAGGUGGAAGAGAAAUUACUGUGAGGAUAAGGAUCAGGAACAAAAGAUACCACAAAUAAUAUCUAUCCUGAUACUGCAAUCUGAUGGCUGCAUCUUCAACUUUAAUACUAAAAUCAAUUAUAACAUUUAAAAGGAAAAUGGGUUCAGAUAUGAAAUGUUAAUACAUGGUCAGGGGUUCUAACAAAAGCAAUGCAUAGUGUGGCAAAAGUGGAGGAAGAGAAAUGUUUUACUCUGUCUCAUAAUACUAGGGGCCAUUCAAUAAAACGUACAGUAGAGGGGAUUCAGAACAGACAGAUGAAAAAACUAUUUUACACAAUCAGUGUGGUGAUUGUCACUAGUUUGGUUACCUACAAAAGGGAAAUUGGGCCUAUCAUUCAUGUAUUUGUCUAUCAAUGGCUAUUAGUCAUGAUAAGUAGGACGUGAAAAGAGGGUUGCAGUGCAACUGCUCCUGUUUGGGUUCUAGCCAGCCAUGCCUUCUUCUGGGAUACUCCAUUCAAUUUCCCCUGCCUCAGUUUUCACUGUGCCCACAACCAUUAAUCAAGCCCAUUGGGCAUGUUUAAGUCCACAUUGGACUGUUUUGGGUCCCAUUGCUGCCUUUAGCCCACCCCCUUGCUGGGUAGCCUUCGGCCAGUCAAUAUCUCUCGACCUAACCUACCUCACAGAGUUGUUGUGAGGAUGAAAUAGGGAAGGAGAGAACCAUAUAUGCCACCUUGAGCUCUUUGGAGGUAAAGUGGAAUAUAAAUAUAAACAAAAGCACACACUAGAGGAGCAACAGCUGAAGAAACCUGUUGCCUUCAAGCCCUGCCUGUGAGCUGCUGGUUGGCCACUGUGAGGAUGGUAGACUAGAUGGACCUUUGGUUUGAUCCAGUAAGGCUCCUGUGUCCUUAGGCUUGAUCUCUUGUCUCCCCUUCCAGACCCUUGCAUAUAUUUGCAUCUAUUCUUUGCUAAAGAAAGACAGCCACCUGUACCUUAAGUGACACCAUCUUCCAUUUGAAGGAGUGUAGGUUACUCUGAAAUUAGACAAAAUAUUAAAGAUUGGAUGUUGUAAAAUAUUACCACAUGGAACUAUUUUACAGUAUUUUUCUAUACUAGGUUAAAAUAGUUCCAACAACAAAUCUGGCCAAUCCAAUCUUCCUAAGUGUGGUUCCCAUGUUCUGCCCUGGGACAUGCAACUUGGAUAAGCAUGGCUUAAGUCCACAUUUUAACUCAGUCCUUCAGUCAGCCACUUUCAAGUCAAUUUCACUAUUUUAGAGUUGUCCUUCUCAACAAACAAGGCACACACAUGCUCAUCAGUUAUCCCGUUCCAACAGUAAACACCAAUGUAGCUAAGCCAGAAUAAAAAGGUCCCAGUCUACAAUCAUUCUCUGUUCAUCCCUCAGCCAGUAACUCAAACUAGUAAUUUUCAAAGAAGUCCAAAGCACUGUAUGAGUUGUACAGGUUUGCCAGUAUGACCUUCAGCACUAUACGAAAUAAAUCUAGACUUUAAUAAGCUGGUUUUGUUUAAUAUAAGACAUUCAUGAGACUCAUCAACUAUCUGUAAGGCUUUCCUUUAUCAAAGCAGGUCAGGGCGAUGAGUGGCUGCUGAAACAUGCAUCACAUGUUAAAAGCUUUUUUCAAGAACACACAAAAUGGCCUUACUGUUCUAAUCCCUACUGAUGGCUCACGUUGCUUAAGGACAGACCUUACAUGAAAUAUAGCCCAAUAAGCAGCUCAACAAAAAGACAUUCCUGGCUACAAGAGAAUCAAGGAACUAUACAAUGAAGAAAUGCAGCACAAUGAAGAGUGCAAUAUUCAGCAUGUUACAUCACUAUGGUUGGGGCUGCUGCUAACACUCAUCUGUAAGAAGCAAAAGAAAUAAACACAUAG